GCCUCCCCGACUCCCUGCGCCGCCGGCUCCCGUGCCGCCCCGGCGAGCUGCAGCGCCUUCUCCUCAAUUCCUCGCGACUCGUCCUCCCGCCGUCGAUUCUUUGGUCAGGCGGUGCUCUUCUUUUCUCCUACAGCGAGCCCCUGCGCCCUCGACUCUUUGGUCAACGCGUCGAUUCUUCGUCCUGUGCUGCUCCGGCGAGCUGCAGCGCCGGGUGCCGUUGCCCUCCACGGAUGAUGGUAACAUUCAGCAGUUGACGCCUAUCCCCAACCAACAAGUUGCAGGAGAUGAGAAGGUGCCCGAAGAUGUGCCGUGAAGCCCAGACCUGUCCAGCUCCCACGGGAACGCCGCGUGCAGAGCACCUCCAUCAAGAUUCUGGCCACAGGAUAUCUUCUUGCUAACUUCCAGGCGCUGAGUGUUCCUAUUGCAGGCAGUGGCUAAGAUGAGGUCAGAAGGAAACUGCAAGAGUGAAUACACGGGCUUAGAUUGCAGCGAGCUCAGCAUGAUAUGUCUCUGACUACGAGGAUAAACACUGUAUCAUUUUGGUGUACACAUUCAGCAUUUUGUUUUCUUCUGAAAACGACUUAGUCUACAAAUGCCAAUGUGUACGAGAUUGGAAGCUAGCUGAAAGACUACAAUGGACAAGAUGGACCU